UACAGAGGGUGCAAGCGUUAAUCGGAAUUACUGGGCGUAAAGCGCGCGUAGGUGGUUCGUUAAGUUGGAUGUGAAAUCCCCGGGCUCAACCCAGGAACUGCAUUUGAAACUGCUGGCCUUGAGUGGUGGAGAGGGAAGCGGAAUUCCUGGUGUAGAGGUGAAAUUCGUAGAUAUCAGGAGGAACACCGGUGGCGAAGGCGACUUCCUGGACACCAACUGACGCUGAGACGCGAAAGCGUGGGGAGCAAACAGG
rnacentral:rRNA from 1 species